rnacentral:lncRNA from 1 species
GUCAGACUGAUGAGAUGUGAAAAGAUGGAAGGAAGUCAUGAACUAAAGAAUGCAGGCAGAAAAGACAUUCUCUUCCGUAGCCUCAGAAAGGAACACAGCCCUGCCAAUACUUCAAUUUUAAGUCAAUGAGACUCAUUUUGGAUCUCUGACCUCCGGAACUGUGUGUUGGGAUGGACAAAAAGCCGAAAGUUACAGUAUUCAGUCAUAUCAAGAUUAGUAUUUUUAGUUCAGUAAUGCCUUGUAUAACACUGAGCUGAUGUCCAUCAUAUGAUCAGUAGAGAACAGAAAAUCAUGAAGAUCUUGACCUUAAACAUAUGGUCUUUGUGAAGAAAAGACAAAGCCCAGAAUAGCAACCGAUUUAGACAGACUGCCUUGAGAUGCUCAAGAAAUGGGAAAGCCCACAGGAAGAUGAGUAAACCCAUGUUGUCUAGGGUGGCAGAUAAAAUGCCCAGAGUGGUGAAAAUGAUAACAGAGUUAAGAAAAUCAGCUGUAUUUGAAGAAAUUCCCAAGAAGAGAAGGAUACAGCAGACAAGGUUGUUAUUUUUAAGAAGUUGGCUGAUAUUUGACUCACUCAAUAAGCACCUCUCUUUGGAAUAGACAGGAACCUUUUGGGCAGAGGUGGAAGGGAAACAUGCAAGGGUUGGGCACAGUGUCCCAGAUUUGGAUGAAAAUGGAAAAUCUUUUCUUAUAGUCUCCCUUCCUGGGAGAGUUGCAAUUUUCUGUGAUGCUUUCCAGUCUUCAUAAGAAUAUCAGGCAGAACAUACCUUGUCUUUGGCCCCUGCUUAUAUUAAGCUUAACAUGUCUCUUGAAACCAUUGCCAAAGCUGGUAAGUGAGUUACUGCAUCAAGGCACUGCUUUCCACCUGCUCUGCUUCCUGCUGCUCUCUACUUCCUUCCACCCGGAGCUCUUAGCUUCCUACUCAGGAAAGAAAGGCACAAGUGUGUGUGUGUGUGUGUGUGUGUGUGUGUGUGUGUGUGGCAUAAAGAGAAAGUGUUCUCACUUGCCUCUACUUCUGCUUGCUUCAGCAUUCUCUUAAACAUGGUUUUCAUCUAUUGCCUGAAGAUACACACAGAUGUAAAUUGUUUAGGAACCAAGGCUCCUCCUUUGGCUCAUCUCUUUCCUUGGAACUUCACUGUUUGUAAGCAGUUGCAGCAGCAGCUAGUAAACAUGGGUUUAGGCUAAGGGGAGAUGGUGAUAUAGCAGAAAGGGCCUUGGGCAAGAAGCUAUAAGACUGGGUUUCUCAUCACAGCUCUGCCAUGUGACCCAGCACAUCAGUUUUGUUCUGUCAAGUGUUUCAAUAAAUAUUUAUUGGGCACCUACUAUGUGAUAGAUACCAAGCCUCAGUUUCCUCAUCUGAGUAAUCAAAGAGACGUCAUGAGAUAAUCUUUAUGGUCUCAAUUAUAAAUUUAGAAAAAAUAAAUAUGAACUAGAAGAAAUAAAGACUCAAACUCAUCAUUUCUGAGUCUAGGGAACUAUUUAAGUCAUGUGUCAACUGGAUGUUUGUAAAUAAACUAUGGUUCAUGAAAUACCAGAAGAGAGUCUUUCCCUGGGUGAGAUCAAGAAUCCCCAGGAUGACAGAACAACACUUCAUACUUUAAUGAAAGCCAGGUGUGGCAUUGAGUGCCAACUAGGAAAGCUCAACACCUGUUGAAGAGAGGGACCUUCCCAUGAUU